rnacentral:lncRNA from 1 species
AAAAAGAGUUAUCUCCUGCUUUCAUGUUCUAAAGCUCUUUCAUCUUCUCAUAGAGCUCACAGUGUUCACUCGUGUUCCAAUAUAAGCAGUUCUUCAGCAUCUUUUCUUCAUUGAUCGCUAUUUCUUUGACUCAUUUACUUUUGUUCAUUAUUAUCUGUAUAUUUCCUUCUCUGAGUGUAUUUUUCUGAGCAUCGAUGGAGCUUUUUCAAGAAGGCACCUAUCGUCCCAUCGGGGUGCUGUUCGACACUCCUGUUUAUAGACAGAUUUUUCAGAACUGUUGGCAUAUGCCCUCCUACAAAGUUCAUGUAGCUAUGGUGGCUGAACUCCUGAGGUUACAGAAGGAGAACCAACUUCUGUCUGAGGUGACUCCUGAAGACAUGGCUCGACACCUCCAUGUAAUGAGCAAACGCAGUCUAAGGGUGCAGCUGCUGGACUUUCAGCUGCAGGAAUACGAUAACGAUGAUGAUGAUGAGGUUAGGAUGCUUCUCAGCAUGGCGAGGGAGGUCAACGACAGCAUGAGGAUGAGGGAUAUUCAGCUGGAUGCUCAAAGGCUGAUCAGCGCUCCAGAGCUCAUGCCUCCAAACUUUAUAUCAGCAAAGAUGAAGCAAGAGGCAAAGGCCAUUGGGGAGGUGCUCACUGAGAGGCAUCAGCAAACCUCCUGCUCUGAACAUCUCCAGCAGCCCCGGGACGUGGUUUUGGACGUGGUUCCAAAGGUGCUUCAGGGCUUGUGGGUGCCUAAACCAAGGUUGUUCCUCACCAUGCCUUCCAUGAAGCUGGAUAAGAUGGCAGUUGGAGUCACCAAAGGGGUAGAAGAUGAUGUUCUAGCAGCCCUAGGCUCCACCACACAUGAAGUAAACAUGUCCCGCUCAUCCAGGGAUGAGAUGAUCACCUCCAUCAUUAAGACACUUCAUGAAGCCUACCCCGAAGACAUCAGGAGGAAGAUGCUGAACUCAUUUUCUCCACAGUUGAUGCACCACGUUGCUGAAGUUACAGCUGAACAGAUCAUGGCUUUGUUUCAGCCUCGGGGGAAACAAGAUGAUACCAAGUCCCUCCCUGAGGAGCCCACGUUCCUCCAUGAGGAGCCCACGACCCUCCAUGAGGAGCCGACGUCUCUCCCUGACGAGACCAAGUCUCUCCAUGAGGAGCCCACGUUCCUCCAUGAGGAGCCCACGACCCUCCAUGAGGAGCACACGUCACUCCCUGACAAGACCACGUCUCUAAAUGAGGAGCCCACGUUCCUCCAUGAGCAGUCAGCAGUGAAGGUGGAGGAAUCUCGAAAGAAGAAAAAGAGUCAAAUGAACCGAUUCAUCAGGUGGAUGCAGAAGAGGCUCUUCACCCGCAUCCAUCCUCAGUGAC